GCGCCGACCGCCCCCAUCCGCAGCGCGCCUGCCGCCCCCAUCCCCAGUGCGCCAACCCCCAGGUCGCCACCUGCCUCAUCGCGACGCCGUCCACUUGCCCUUCCUCAUGGCUUCUCCCAGCCAUGGCGAGCGCCUCCUCCCUGCUCCAAGCUCGCUGCAGACUACACAGAGCCGCCAGCCCCGGCCGCCUCCCGUGCAGUACAACGCCGCCCCUGUACAAGGUUCAAAGACCUUAUAGUGAGAAGGAAGGGAGAUGCUAAGGUCCGGCAGCUUCCUCGUUGCCAUCCUGGUACAGCGUCGUGGCUUUGAUGCGGCACACCUCGCACUGCUUCUCCUCGCUGGACUAGUCGACCUGCAAGAGAUCAACUCAAACAAAAAUUACCCAAGGUGAAACUAAACUGAAAUAGUGAUGCUUGAUGAAAGCCUUCUGCUGCCUACAAGUUAAGAAAAUCCGAUCCCAAUAUCGUGUCUGUGUUUAUGUCAGUAAAUAGAUACUUGAAAUACGCCGAAUAUUGAGUUCUUCUUGCAGAGGGGCUGGCGCUACUUCUUAUACCAAGAUUUUGAUUCUGCCAUGUAGUUUUUCUCUUUUCUUUUGUGGGGAAAAAACCCCGAAUGGAGUCAUGCAGCAUAAAACCACCUUGUAGGCUUUUUUUUGUUUUUUUAGUUACAUCAUACAGCUCACCUUGUAGGAUUUAGCGCGCCCUACCGCGCGUCCUCCAUCGAACGGUCGGACUUCCUGUCCUCCGGUCCUCCCUCUCCACCACCCUAGGAUCUGAAUCGCCGUCCCAGUCCAACACCAUGGCGUCGGGGUGGUCGAGGUCAAGGCUGCCGACUUCCUAUUUCCUGUGUAGCUCGUCGUCGCCCCACUACAACUUCCACCGCCAUGCGCAGCCAUCCAACCUAAGGGCCCAGUGGUCGCAUUAGUGUCGGUGUAUCUUACUGUAAAGUGUAAUGGGCCAACAAAUUAUUUCAUGUUUCUGAUCAAGGUUGCUUGCUUGAUCGAAUUUUAAUUAAAUCUGAUCUGCAUGAUGCAUAAUUAAGGCGAACCAUUUUUCCAUGUCAUCAUGUCUCUGCUACCAUGUUCUUUUUAGAAGACUGCUGCCAUGAUUUCAUACACUAGAAUGGUUGAAAAAGUUGUUUCCUAGAUUUUAGUUAUUGGAUUAAAUAUAAAGACUGCAUGUGUAAUCUCCACAUGCAGGAGGCAGUGGCCUUGUGCGUCGAAGAACGACGUUGACCUUCCUGUAGAAUUUGUUGCUUGUUGGCCUAUACGUGUUUUUAAUGCCUGUGAAGCAUGAGACAACACACACAACAGUUCAGUUCACACUCAGAUCAGUGUCUUAUUUUAUUUCAGUUCAAAUUUAUAGCAAAAGUACUCUUAGACUACAUUACAAGUACUAAUAACUUUCUACGAACACACAUCGGGCUCUACUGCUGCUGCUCGACUCUAAGUCGCUUCAUCUCUAAUUGUUGUUGUGAUGCUAAGGUUUUGAUUUAGAGAAAACAAAGAACAGAAAGGAAAAAGAAAUCAUGCUUUUCUAUUGUUGUGAUUUUGUUUUGUUGGCCUCAACUUGUUCGUUAGAAUGCCUACAACAACUGGCAGUGACGAACAUGACAGGCCCCUCCAGACGACCUCCUCUGGUUUGGCCUUUCGUCAACGGAGAAAAUAAGACUGAUGUGGUGCUCCUGUUGGCUGUACUCUGGAGAAGAGUUAACAGAAAGUUGCAGCAAAGAACAAAAAAGAAGAAAAAAUAUAGGGUUGCAGUUUAAAGAAGUUGGGAAUUAAAAGUUCAAGUUGUGCUAAUUGUCGCCGAACCUCGGGCCGAUUCAUUCCUAAGCUAUGUCUUCAGUCAGCAGCGGAGAUGCCUGCGGGUACAUCGAUAGGAGCAGGAGACCCAUCAAACUUUUAACGGGCAGAUAGGAACAACAAGUUAGCUCCGUGCAUAUCACCAUUCUGAGAGUCUGACAGAUUUGUGUUGAUUGAAUCCACGGUGGCAGUAGAACAUUAAGUACCAUGGAGUUUAUAGUCAUUGUGAGCAGGAUGUAUCGAAUACAACAGAUGAAGUGAAGCGACCUCCCAGGAGAGAGAGUGACCGCUGUGCAGCGAUGCAUCUUGUCGUCGUCGCCGCUUGCAUAGUUCUCUGAAUGGAUGGAUGAAUGGGUACAGUUCUCUGAAUGUGAAGGUGUUCACUAAUGUUCUCUGAAUGUGAAGGUGUCAGAAUGACAGAAAAUGUGUUUGCUUAAAAUACUUCAGUUCAACAAAAAGCUCCAGAAAAGUUCGGAGUGAAAAGCUCCAUGGUGUUUCUUCGGCUGCAGCAUGUACAUGCAUCUCUACAAAAAAACGGAUGAUUCCAUUCUCUGCAAAGUCCAUUAGACAAGGUCUAGGUCCCAAGACCGGGGAACAAUAUGGCGCUCCAUUUGAGGAAAGAGGAAUUGAAUGGAUAUGAAGAGUAUAUGUUUACUUUUCUUGUAAGUAAACCUACCUUCGAUCCUCAACUGCUCCAUUAAUGCCCCCUAGCAUGUACAAGUCCCCUUGUUAUACUCUUUAUUUAUUCCACCUCCAAUUUUUUUUCCGAGUUCUAUUCUUCGUCACAGGUUCACUGCUAUUACCUCGGUGCAAAAAAGUGCCAAAAAGUUCAGUUCAUACUAUUCUAAAUGUCCAUAUUGUAGAUAAUAUUUGUGCUGUCUUAAAUUUCUGGAAACAAGCUUCAGUACAAGAAAAAUGGGCCAGUCAGUUCAUCCAUAUGCAAACCCCCGUAACAAAACGUAUCUCUAAUCCAAUUAGGUGAGGAUGUGCAACAUAUGUUUAAGUAAAACAUUUAUACCAUGUUACAAAAGUAACUUACCCUGUUCCAUAGAAGAUUGAUUGAAUUUUUAAAAUAUAUUUUAGAAAAUAAGUGUGCACAAAGUAGCUCUCUCUCUUUCUAUUACUCUGUCUCAUGUGAUGUUACUGCUCCUAGUAUGUGAAAUUUCCUGCCAUAUUGACAAAAUGAGUGAAAUCUUAUGGUGUUCUCUGUGAAAUGGAGAUACCUAGUCUAACAAGAGUUCAAGUAUAGAAAAUGUGGCAGUGGCAAUUUUCAAAACCUUUAACUGUUGAAGUACAUAAGAAACACAAAGUCCAUUCUGCAAAAACAACAGUAGACGUGAUGUUCAAUUUUGCUAAAUUAUGCAAGUGGUAAUUCAUAUGGGUUUCCUUUGUGGUGAAGAUUUCAUCAGUACUGAUAGCUUAACUUAUUAUGUUAAUUCUAGUGCGGCACUAGCGAAGGUAGAAAUGUACUGAAUGUUCACACCUUUAAUCGUCUCAUUUUGUGAACACGCAUCAGUUCAGUAUGAAAAAGGAACAUAAUAAGUUAACUUUGCAAGUGAAUCAGUUCACCUUGAAUAAAAUACAGAAGUGCACCAUCAAGUUUUCCAUCAGUUCGCUUAUAAAAAAACAGAAAGUUGGUUGUGUAAAGAAAAUCGGAAAACCAAUGUCAGCCUAGAAGUUCACUAGGGGACUCCACGCAAGUGCACUCCUUAGAAAAUUUUGGGUUUACUAUAUUUUAUAGACUGCAGAAAUUUUGAACUUACUAUUUUGAAAUUUUCGUUGUCAUUAUCCAAAGUUGUACGCUGGACUAAAAGUUGUCUUUUUUGAUCUUUAGUUCUGACCUUUUUUUCUGAACUUACUAUUCUGUUUGUGUACAUUAUCCUCUCGUCAAUUUUGUGAUUUUAGACUAAGUUUCAGCCCUCGAGCAAGAGCUCGUCCACCACGGGUGCUUGCAGCCGUCCAAGUCUCAAUUUCUUCUCAGUUUUCAUGGAUGCUCGCCGGCCAUGCGUCCAGCAUGCUUGUGGCGAUAGCUGCCACCACUAACGGCAUUGGCGGCCAGCACGCCUGGAAUUGAGGCUUCGCCAAGGAACAAGACUGGUAACUAGCGCAAAGGAGACUAUGUUGAGAGGUGGCACUGCUAGACUUGCUGAUGUGUAGUUAUGGCAUAAAAAAGAUGAAAAAAAGGGUAUCUUCUAUGGUUCCAUAAGGUGUACGUAGCAAAUCUUCCCAUGUGGAUCAGUACAACUUAUGUACGGCCUUGAGUUCACAAAACUUAUACUCCCUCCGUUCCCAAAUAUUUGUCUUUCUAGGCAUUUCAAAUGGACACAACAUACGGAUGUAUGUAGACAUAUUUUAGAGUGUAGAUUUACUCAUUUUGCUCCGUAUGUAGUCACUUGUUGAAAUCUCUAGAAAGACAAAUAUUUGGGAACGGAGGGAGUAGUAAUCUUUGUAGUAUUCUUCGUAACACUUCAUAAAGAAAGAGUAGCCCUUUUUUUGUGAGCAACA